rnacentral:rRNA from 1 species
CCUACGGGUGGCAGCAGUCGAGAAUCAUUCACAAUGGGGGAAACCCUGAUGGGGCGACGCCGCGUGGGGGAAUGAAGGUCUGCGGAUUGUAAACCCCUGUCAUGUGGGAGCAAAUUAAAAAGAUAGUACCACAAGAGGAAGAGACGGCUAACGCUGGGCCAGCAGCCGCGGUAAUACAGAGGUCGCAAGCGUUGUUCGGAACCACUGGGCGUAAAGCGUGCGUAGGCGGUUUCGUAAGUCGUGUGUGAAAGGCGCGGGCUCAACCCGCGGACGGCACAUGAUACUGCGAGACUAGAGUAAUGGAGGGGGAACCGGAAUUCUCGGUGUAGCCGUGAAAUGCGUAGAUAUCGCGAGGAACACUCGUGGCGAAGGCGGGUUCCUGGACCUUACCUGACGCUGAGGCACGAAGGCCCGGGGAGCGAAAGGGAUUAGACACCCCGGUAGUC